CGUGCUUCUUUGCAUGCCCAUA
rnacentral:miRNA from 1 species